GACGAACCGUGCGAACGUUAUUCGGAAUCACUGGGCUUAAAGCGCGUGUAGGCGGAUGAGCACGUCUGUCGCUGAAAUCCCCCGGCUCAACCGGGGAACUGCGUCCGAUACUGCCGUGCUUGAGGACUGGAGAGGAGACUGGAAUUUACGGUGUAGCGGUGAAAUGCGUAGAUAUCGUAAGGAAGACCAGUGGCGAAGGCGGGUCUCUGGACAGUUCCUGACGCUGAGGCACGAAGGUCAGGGGAGCAAACGGG
rnacentral:rRNA from 1 species